CCGCAGAGGGGGCCCAGCACGCUGCCUGUUCUCCUCUCUUCUCUCUUCUAAUAACUCUCGCGAGACCAGCGGCCUGUGUGCCACGUGGAGCAUUGCCAUGGUGGGUCUCGCAAGAGUUAUUAGAGGAGAGAAGAGAGGAGAACAGGCAGUGUGUUGGGCCCCCUCUGCAGUAA